rnacentral:rRNA from 1 species
AGUGAACGCUGGCGGUAGGCCUAACACAUGCAAGUCGAACGGCAGCACAGUAAGAGCUUGCUCUUACGGGUGGCGAGUGGCGGACGGGUGAGGAAUACAUCGGAAUCUACUUUUUCGUGGGGGAUAACGUAGGGAAACUUACGCUAAUACCGCAUACGACCUACGGGUGAAAGCAGGGGAUCUUCGGACCUUGCGGGUUUGAAUGAGCCGAUGUCGGAUUAGCUAGUUGGCGGGGUAAAGGCCCACCAAGGCGACGAUCCGUAGCUGGUCUGAGAGGAUGAUCAGCCACACUGGAACUGAGACACGGUCCAGACUCCGACGGGAGGCAGCAGUGGGGAAUCUUGGGCAAUGGGCGCAAGCCUGAACCAGCCAUACCGCGUGGGUGAAGAAGGCCUUCGGGUCGUAAAGCCCUUUUGUUGGGAAAGAAAAACAGCAGGUUAAUACCCCGCUGUUCUGACGGUACCCAAAGAAUAAGCACCGGCUAACUUCGUG